rnacentral:rRNA from 2 species
AAUAAAUGUAUUAAUAUUAUAGAAGAGAUUAAAUGAUAAAUCAUUAAAUUUAAAAGAUUUGGCAGUAUUUAAUAUUUAGAGGAACCUGUGUAGUAAUUGAUAAUCCACGAUAAGAUAAACUUAAUUAUAAAAUUUAUGUAUUGCUGUUUUAAAUAUCUAAUUAAGUUAGAUUGUGAAAAGUACAAUAGAUUAUGUGAGAGUAGAAUAAUUCAAGUCAAAAUAUAGUAUAGUUAAGAUAGCAUGGGUUACAAUUAAUUUGAUUAUUAGAUUAUAAAAUUUAAUUUUUAUAUGAAAAUGGAUUUAAAAGUAAAUUUGAUAAAUUAAUUAAGUUGAAUGUUAAAUUAAAUAUGU